rnacentral:rRNA from 1 species
CCUACGGGGGGCUGCAGUGGGGAAUAUUGGACAAUGGGCGAAAGCCUGAUCCAGCCAUGCCGCGUGUGUGAAGAAGGCCUUCGGGUUGUAAAGCACUUUCAGUGGGGAAGAAAGCCUUGGGGCUAAUACCCUCGAGGAAGGACAUCACCCACAGAAGAAGCACCGGCUAACUCCGUGUCAGCAGCCGCGGUAAUACGGAGGGUGCGAGCGUUAAUCGGAAUUACUGGGCGUAAAGCGCGCGUAGGCGGUCUGAUAAGCCGGUUGUGAAAGCCCCGGGCUCAACCUGGGAACGGCAUCCGGAACUGUCAGGCUAGAGUGCAGGAGAGGAAGGUAGAAUUCCCGGUGUAGCGGUGAAAUGCGUAGAGAUCGGGAGGAAUACCAGUGGCGAAGGCGGCCUUCUGGACUGACACUGACGCUGAGGUGCGAAAGCGUGGGUAGCAAACAGGAUUAGAUACCCUGGUAGUC